rnacentral:tRNA from 1 species
GCGCCCGUAGCUCAGCUGGAUAGAGCACAGGUUUGCGGUACCUGCGGCCAGGAGUUCGAAUCUCUUCGGGCGCGCCA